ACUAAAGGAGUGGAUUGGCAGUAGAUGUUAGCUCAGGGCAAAUCUUCCUCUUACAAAAAUAAAAGGAAGUUGAACAUAUGACAGUGUAGUCAUAUGCUAAGUACACUUCAGCUGUUGAUGUGUUGUUUCUGCAUUAGGCACUCACUUAUUCUAUCAUCAAGAGGUUUCCAAGAAUGCAACUGUGGCUGAGUUUAUUAUGACUGGUAUCAAAUUCAUAUGAAGAGAAUAUGAUCCUUCAGCAAAUGAGUCUGUACUAUAAACAAUGGGCUAUGAAUGACAAAUGAAAUAAAAUGUAUUCAUUUGUAGAAUUGCCAACCUAUUGUGAAGAAUUUCUGUCCUUAGGGUGACCAUAUAAUUUGUUUGAACUGUGAAACUUUUGAGAGUGGAAGGAGUCCUACCAACAGUAAUCAUGCUGGGGUAACAGGUGUACGCCAUGACCGUUCCAAGCAAACUGGCAUCAAUGAGCGCUCUACAUAUUCUAGACUUUCAUUUUCUACUGCUCCCACAUACAUGCUUCAAAGUCUACUUUAGAAAAAUAUUGGAUAAGUGAUCAACAGUAAUAUUUUCUAUCUCAUUUCCUUCUCUUUAUCUGUCUGUCUCUGUCCCUCUUUCCUUCUCUCAUUUGAUAUUUCUUCAUUUUUCCAGAUCACUAGAUUCCUCAACCCUCAAAAUACAAUAUUUCUACUUCUAGUAGUUAAUAUUGUAAAUAGGGAAAAAUAUCACCUAAAGUCCACUGAGUUUCUUGGGUUCUAGUGUAGAUGAACAAUGGGCCAAUGGUCCUGUUGUCUUGGACUGUGCUUGCCCUUUUUGUACUGUCUCAUUACCUGCAAUUUCUGUUCUUAAAAUACAUUCUAUGGGUUAUUUCUGAAAUAGAAACUCUUGCAAUCCAUGAAAACAAAUAUAUCUGAAUAUUUUAAAGGCAGAGAGAGAGAGACAGUCAGAGACAGAGAGAGAGAGAGACAGAGAAAGGCAGAGACUGAACUGGAUAGAAAAAGGAAGAAAGGGUGAGAAGACUGUCCUAAUAGAAGUGAUCAAAUCCUUCAACCAUGGUUAGUUUCAGUUCUCUAGACACACAUUGUUGCUUCCUGACCAUGUUAAAUUACACCUAAAUGAAUUUGCCUAUAAGUCUAAAGAGAACCAAUAUUUGUUUUCUGAAGCAAUUAUUUGACUGAUCUACCAACUGUGAAAAUGCUUCUUCAAGUUAAGGAUGAGGAUAGAAAAGAAGAGGCAAGUCCUGUAUAGAGCAGCAAAGGAUUGGCCUCCAUCAUCAAAGCUCAUUUCAUGAACAGUAGAUAGAAGGAAAGAUUGUGGCGACUUUGUUCUGUCUUGUAAGUAUAAGAUUGUCAGCAGUUUAAUGCUCAAGGCAUAGCUCUAAGAAAAAUUGGAAAAUGUACUUGCCCACUAUUCUUCUAGCAAUACUCUGGAUUUUUCCUGCCUUUGUGGGAAGUUGAUUUUCUGUUAUUGUUUCUACAUAAAUUAAGAGGAUCACUUGGAUAUUUUCAAAAAUUGUAUAGAAUUAAAUAAUUUUUAUUAGUUUAUUUAUCAAGUCUAGGAACUGAUUUUAGGGGUGGAGGAGUUUGUUAUAUAAUUUAAUCUUAGUCUCGUGAGUAAAUGAACAUACAAGUUUAAAGGUAUUGGGAGAGAGAAGGAGACACUUGAGGGUAUGUCAGGAGACCACUGUUCUAGGAUAUGUAUAGAACCAAAACCAACACAUAGUAGGUUCUUAAUGAAUGUUUUUUGAAUGAAUAAAUUCCCUAAAAUACCUGUGUGACGUGUGGCAACACAUAUAGCCUCUCUGGUUGUCAGCAUCCUCCUCUGCAAAAUAAAGGUGUCUGACAAUGAUUUGUAUGGACCAUUUUAUCUCUGAAAUUCUUUGAUUCAUAAUGAUAAUUAAUAACAAUGAAAACAAUAAUACGAAUUAGCUCCAAGGUCCCACAAUUCUCAAGUCAAACUAUAGACAGUUAUUAGAACUCUAUCCUAUAAGAUUCAAUUAACCCUUAGAAAAUAAGUCAUCUGUUCUGAUUGUAGGGGAAAAAAACUCAUUGGGUAUACAUGUGCAAAUAAAAUUUAAAAUUUCAUUAAUAAGAACAUCUAACAAUGCAAAGUAGCACCCAUCUCUAUGAACAAAUGCUUAUCUGUGGCAAUACGAUUAUUUGCAAUUAAAAGAUAAUUUUUUUUCCAUAAGUUUUGACUAAGGUUCGAGAGUCUAACUCUUUCAGGAUGUGCAUUCAUUUAAACAAUUUACACAGACAUUUUAAUUUGUAGAAUUCUUCCUGAUUUCUUCCUUCAUAUCAUUUCAAAAUGCAUUCUUCCUUUAGAAUAUGUGCAUGACAUACCAUAUUUAUUCAUUUACCCAGUAUGACAUUCACAGUAAAGGAACCUCCAGUAGGAAGCAAUCAGUAGUUAUUACUAUCUCCAAUUCUGUCUUCUACUUCUCUGAUUUGUUUUGCUUUUUGCAUUUUCAUCAGAUAGUUAUACCAGCUCCUCUAGACUUAGUAGCUGGACCAGCAACUGACAUCGCCAUGUCAAAUUUUAGGGAAUACUUGCUCAUCUUCCUGAUCUAGGUUAUGUAGGUACUAACAAAGCAUUUUUUCCCCCUGAGAUCAAUCAAAGAGAAAAAAACAGAAGUUCUAAAAUGCAAUAUUAUUUGGAAAUUGGAAAAAGAAAAACCUGAAAACUGAAAUUAUGGACAUCAAUGAAAUUAUGAGCACAAUUUUAUUACUGAAUGUAACUAAGUAUCCAUCCCCAUUUUCCUAUUCCUGUAAGUCACUGGAGACAUUGCAUUUCAAUGAUUGUCAUUCAAAUAAGGUAGUUAUUUCUCUGUUCAUUUACGGAAAAGUGAAGAUUGACGUACCCUGAGUCCCGAACCUUGGGACGAGUGUCUAGUUCCUCUCAUUUCUCCAGGUGAGAAAUGGGUUGACAGCUUUGCAGAAUUCUAAUUUCUCCAAUUUUACAAUAAUAGAAUUAUUUUAUGACUAUAGUUAUGAUGAUAAUGUCAACAACAGUAUGAGAAGUUGAUCUCUCACAUACAGUAGAUCCCUUACAUAGCUAUAUAUUUCCCUUUGUAAGACACUGGGAAUCAACCUUCUCCAUAUUUUAAUGCACUGGCUGCUAUUUGAUUUUAAAUAACUUUACCUCAUCAAGCAGAGCAGGCAGAUAGCUGGUAAUCUUCGUGAAAGCAGAGACCAUGCCUGUUGUUUUAGCCGUAGUACUCUGCGCAGCGCCUAGCACAGAAUUAUGUGUUCAGUGGAUAUUUGUUGAACAAGUAAAAUAUGUACAUGCAUGUGUGUGCACACGUGCACACAGACACAGGUAUCACAGUCUAUUUGCUUAUAGCUUAAAAGAAACUAGAGCAAGUUUUGAGGAACACCCACAGUGAAUGAUAUAGAAAUCAGAGAGUGGGAUCUAAAUGCAUUUAAGGAAACCUGUUUAUCCCUUUUUCAUUGCUUCUCUGCUGGAACCUUUAGGGUUAGCCAGACCAAGCUUUGAACCUUGGAUGCUAAACUGACUGUAUAAAUAUGUAUCUUCCUAGGUUCCUCUUCUUUAACAUCAGAAUAAUAACACUUACUUCUUAGGGUUUUCGUAUGGAUUAAAUAUACUUAUAAGGCCGCUGACGCAUUUUUGUGUCUAGAUAAAUAGUCAUUGUUCAAUUGUUAUAGAGCUUGCAUGAGAAUGAGAGUUGGGGUCGUGUGGGGUGGGUUUUCUGGACAUUGGCAUUAGCUGGGUUUCAGAUAUGACAAUUAUAGGAGGUGGAAUAAAAGAGGCUAGAAGUAGAGAUUUCUUUAGUAAAUAUCAUGUGGUUAACGUAGGUUUAUGGGUAUAAUCAAAUCUCUGUUGAAGGGUUUCUCAAAUCUCUUUGCAAGUCUACACUGAGUUGCAGUAUAAUGUUUUCCCCUUCUACUCCACCUUGGCUAUCAAUCAUUUGUUCUACUUUGUGUUUGGACUUAUCUUGUCCCAUUAACCGUAAAUGACUAGGGAAAUUUUGGGUUAUUUGCUUUUCCUGUUAGAAUUUUCUGAUCUUUCUUCCACUCAAAUCUUUAUGCAUACCUCUUGUCUGUAUCUAUGAAAUCACACCUGGGAUGGACUAAAAGUGGGAGUACAGUGCACUUAUGACAUAAUUCUUGCAGCCGAUCCAUAUGGCAAAACUACCUGGCAUUGAGUGAGGCAUGGUGGUGGUACCACUGCUCAAAUGGGAUCAUAGGAACCUGCUAAUUAUUUGUUUGCUUGGUUUUGGCACCUCCAUGAUGAGCUUAUCCCUCAGUUCAAAUCCUUGUAUUUCCUGAAACACUGCUUUUUGCACAAAAAUUACCUUAAAAUUGUGGCAAGGAGAUUUUCACAUAUUAGGUAGCUUCUUUCUUAUUCAUAAAAAAUAAACUUACACUCUCACUAUGAUGCUAUAAUGGGAAACUGUCCAGGUUUAUUUGAAGAAAUCCAGUGGCUGAACCUAAUGGAUUAUGGUUGAAACCAAAGCAGAUUUUGCAGGCUGGUUUAUCCAGCCUACGUGUGCAGCUCGGAGUGACCCAUAUUCUGUCUUCUGCUUCUAGUGUGUUGACCCAGGCUGUGCCUCUUAGAAGCUGAAGAAAUUUAUGAGACAUGCUUAAAAUAGUUCUUAUGCUUGGCCACUAAUAAUCAACACAGAGAGUCACGCUAUCAGUAAGCCCCCAGUGACUUGAAUCCAUCAUAAGGACUGCCUGUGGCCAGCAGCACAGACCAUUUUAUACAUGGAGUGAUGCAUUUUACUGGCCAUGUUUGGCUAAACUGGCUGCCUCAGAAGGAGAAAGUUCCUAGAGAUGGAUGACCAAAAGGAAGAUUUGGUGUGGGUCCUGGAAAUAAGGAUGAGGAAAUUAAAUUGGGACUGAAGAGCAAGGUAAUGAAGGCCAGUGUUAAGAAAGUCACUAAAACCACACUACACAAAAUUUAACUUUCCCAGUAACAGCUCCCAACUGCUCAAGUCUCUCUACCAUAAGAUUGAGAAGAGGGUCUGUCCAGUGCUCUCCAACAACAGCAUGGCAACCGACAGGACUGUUGUCAGGAUAGCUUAUGCCAGGAAGUGAUCUCAACCUCUAAUCUUAUACUAAGGCUAUACCACCUCCUCUUAGAUAUUCGUUCAUGGCGUUUUUAUACUGUUGCCUUUAUUUUACAUUUAUAUAGCCCUUUCCUCUGGGGAAAAUUAUACCUUCAAAUGUUGACUUAGUGCUACCCUUGCUCCGUUUGUCAUUGCUUAUCCACCGAAUACAUAUUUAGCUCCUUUAAUCUUGUGCCAUAAAUACAUCAUUCCGUUUCUUUAAUCAUUUCAGUGCUAUCCUUUAUACUCACUUCAAUUUCUCAACACAUUUCGAGCGUCAAGAGGCCUGAUGCUGGAGUUUAGCCUAACCAGAGUCAAGGAAGGUGGGAGUCAUUUCUCUAUAUUUUUGCUCUGCUCCAACGUAAUGGAUCAUUGUAUUCAGUUCACAAUAGCAUCAGCCCCUUUGGCAGCCAUAUCACAUUGCAAACUGAUAUCUAAUUUGUCCUCCAUUAUCCGCUCCAGGUCUCCUUUAGUGUUACUACUUUCCAGGUUUCUCCUGUCCAUUGAAUGAUUUUGCUCAAGAUGUAUUGGUUUUCAUUUUUCUAAGCUGAAUCUCAUUUUGUUAUUUUUGACUCAUAUCACUACCCUCUCAGGGUCCAUUUAUAUAAUAUCUUAGGAGCUUCAGUGGUGCCUGCCAUACAUCUUAACUUAUCACCUGCAAACUCCAUUAAUGAGUUAUUUCCACUCUUUUCUUACCCAAGAGGUCAUUAAUAUAAUGAAAAAUAACCAUUCUUCCAGAUCAUUUUUAAAGAGAUAUAUUAGGACCAAGUGAGGAAUACUCCAAGAAAAAAAUACUGUUUAGUACUGUUUUCAUAUAUAACAAGAAUAUUCUUUCUACUCCUUUCCAUUUUGAAUUAUGUGAAUUAAUUGCGAUUAUUUUCUUAAUGGAGUUUGCUAAUACUUAUUUUCAUGGAGACUACAUUUUACCUACGCAUGAUUUGGAGUUGUUUAAACAAAAAUCACUGUUUAAAGUGUUUAAAUGUCAUUACUCAGUUACUUGGAGGCCAUCUGGAUCCCUAAAAGGAUCAUUUAGCUUCUCUUUCCUCCAUAUGCCACACAAGUAAUCACAUCAACUUAUCCUUUUAUAGAAGGACUGAUGAUGAUGUGUACAGAUCUUAUCAGGAAUAUUUCCCUUUUAUUGAGUCAAAAGAGCCAAAGAAAACUGCAAAGAAUGUUCCUAAUUAGGUGUGAUUAUGUAGUAUCACCUUUAGGGAGUCUAGACCUGGGGAAUUGGAAAGAGACAUUGACUUGUCAUAAGAAUUCCUAGGUUCUGACAUUUGCUGAGCAAUAAAGACAGUUAUUCUAAUAGAGUUUUGAAUCUAUAUUUGCACAGUCUUGUUUGCAGGCUGUGUGACAAAUAUAUGCUGCUAUUUUUAAUGUGUAUAUAGAAGUUAUGGUUAGUACAAAAUACGUAUUUUUUUCUUAAUAUGAAUAUUACUAUCUUAUGAGUGUCCAGUAGUUGCUUUUAACAUUUAAAAUGAAAAAAGUCCUGUGUUGGAAAAUGUGGGAUUCACUGAUCUGGAAAAAAUAUUUCAACAUAGUGUCUCAUCUAUACAAGGAGUAUGUUGGGAAGGACAGAUUCUGGAAACCUCUUUCCCAUCAUAAGAUUUAUUUGCCAUGACUAGGAUGCAUUCUAUUGAUUUCCCUCAAUCAUAAGGCGUAAUGGCUUUGAUUGCCACUGGCGUAUCUAGGGAUCUUUGAUAUAUGCUUACAACAAUAAUAAAGAUAAUAGCAAUCACUAUUAAAUUCUCACUAUGUUACAGGCACUAUUCUAGGCACACUCUUACACAUUACCUCUUUUAAUCUUUACUGCAAUCCUGAGAUAUAUUUUUUCUCCAAUUUACAUAUUAGAAAUCUGAUUUUCUGAGAGUGUGAGUAAAUUACCCAAGACAAACAGGUUUUAAUUGAAUGACAAGGAUGAUUGAAUGAUAAAGCCAGGACUAUCAGAUUCUAUAAUCCUUGCUCCACCCAUAAUGCCAUGCAUGAUUUCCGGCCAUACUGCAUGUUCUACCCCACAAUUUAGCACUGUCAAACAACCAUUAUGCUCGAGACUCUGUGGGUCAGGAAUUUGCGAAGGGCCCAAAUUUGAGGACAGCUUCUUUUUGCCUCAUGAUAUCUGGGACUUCAACUGGGAAGACCCAAAUCUGGGGGUGACUUGAUGGCUUGGAGUACACAACAGUAGGGAGCUAGCAUUAUCUGGAGGCAUCUUCUGUUAGAUAUAUGGCCAUUGAUUCUGGCUGUUGGCUGGUUCCUCAGCUGGGCAGUCAGCCAAAACACCUAUAGUGAUGCCUUCAAGUGGAGCAUGGCAGCCUGAGAUUUCUCACCUGGUGAAUCAAGGCUCUGAAGGCAAGUGUCUCAAGAGAAUCAGGCACAAACUGUAUCAUCUUUUAUGACCCACACUUGCAAAUCAUUUAGUAUCACUUUUUUUGUACUCUUGGUCAACCGUUCCCUAAGUUUAGCCCAGGUUCAAGGAGUGAGGAUGUAAACCCCACUUCUCCAUGGAAAAGUGUCAAUUUUCAGACAUGUUUAAAAUCUUUAUAAUUCAAGUUUUCCUGUGGGUUCUUGAAGCAGUCUUUCUUACGGCUUUGAUUUAUUUACUAUGGUUCUCAGCCAUGGCUGCAAAUUGUCAUCACUGGGCAGCACGAUAAACCUAUCAAGUCUUAGACUCCACUCCAGAUAUUCUGAAACAAAAUCUGCAGCUGGGGGGGACCUUGGGAAUCUGUAGUUGAGCCAAGCUUCUGGUGAUUCUUAGACAGCUGGCCUAACUUAAGCACCAAGUUUUACUUACACUGUCUCGACAAGUGGAAAUGUUCUCCAAAGCCAGGCCUGCUCUUGGUAGGCCUGCCCCAUCCUGAUUAAUUUCUUGGCCUCUGCUGUUAAAGCUGCUUGUGUGUCAUUCCCACCUCUUCUCCCCACCUUGGAGAGGCACCUGAAGCUUUACAAAGUACUACCUCUACAUUUGCAAGAGGAAUCCUGGGAGCUCCCUUCCCCAUCUCAUCAGGGAUGAAUGACAGGACUUUAAGCAAAAUCUCUGCUGAAGCUAUCACAGCAGGGGGGUACCAGCUUAAAGCUUAAAGUCAGUUGGUAAUCACUCUGCUGUGAAUGGUUGGGCUAGUAGCACCCAGUGAUUCCAUUUGCAUAUUUAUAACUUGAUGUGUGCACAGAAGUGCCACUUUGGGGUGCCACUGCAGCAGCUCCACUCCAGUGAAAACAUCUUGCAAGAGCCUUGUCAGCUUCCUUCAGCAUUUUUUCUGAGGUUUAGAACCAGAGGAGGGUGGCAGUCCACACCUCAGGAGGAAUGACUGAUAAGAUCUAUUAACUCUUUCUCCCCUUAGACAUUAAUCUCAACAGCUCUAUUAGCAACCACUCCUCUCAGUGGGAAUUGGCGCACUGCUUACAUUAAAAAUAAAAGAGGAAGGAUGCUUCUAUUUUACCUGCCUAGUUUCCAGUCUUCAGAUUAUCAGGAGUUUCACACAUGUAGCAUCCAUGCAUAGAGUGUGAGAAAAGAAGAGAUAAAGGACCAGCUGAGGAGGCUGAAGAGAUUUGAGGAGAAAGUGCUUGCAGGAAGAGUUUUUUGUGGCUUUGAGGCUGGAGGGCCCUUGGUACUUAUCUUGAGCAAGGGACAAGUUACCAAGGACAUUGCCAUGCAAUUCAAUUAGAGAGGCUAUGAUGAGAACCCUACUGCAUUCAUCCAUUGGCGAGAAAAUCCAGCUCAGCUUGCUAAGCUUCUUGGCCCACAAUACUUCCAAAUCCCAGCCACUGCUUCAUUACUGCAUCUGGAGGAGGCUAAAGUGAUGAGGAUUGGUAAGAAUUACGUUCUCCAAAUCUUCCAUAGAGGUAGGAGUCUUUGGAAAAAGUAGAUAAAACAAGCAAAACUCAGUGAAAAACACGUCCUAUCUUUUGUAGGACCGAGUUAAGGUUGUGGAGGGCAAGAUGCAAAUAGGUAACAUUUUCUCUUCCUUUCUUUCCUGUUUGGAAAUUUCAGACUGGGUUCAACUAGUGCAUCUUUAAAAGUGUGUUUCUUGAACAGUCUGCAUCAGAAUCCCUCAAGAGUUUUAUGAAAAAUGAAGAUGUCUAGAACCCACCUUAGAUCUAUGGAAUCAGCAAUUCUAGGGGUAGGACCCUGGAAUCAGAAUUAGUAACAAGUUGCCCAAUGUCUGAUACACACUCAAGUUGAAGAAGCAUAACCUGGGUUCUGCCAUUGCCAGUCAUGGGGGAGCCCGGAAAGGUGUUGCUAAAGGUCUCUAUUAACAUGCAUACACUCUUUCUCAGACCUUGUUCCUCAAGGAGACCCACAGGCACUAGGAGGGGCUUUUGAAGUUUGAUGGUGUUAAGUGGUUGACCUUUAUGAAGUAGUUAGAGUCUACUUUGAUAUUAAUUAGUCAUUAGGUCAGCAAACAUUCUAAAGGACAGUGCAGAAUACAGUAAAAAUGCCUAUUUGAUUAUUGACUAAAAGUUACAGAUUAUUUUCUAUAUUUGAAGCCAGUAAAAUUGCGUGUCCUGAUGACUACUAAAUUUCCCCAGGCCUAGAAGAGCCAGUAGAGGCUGGGUAAUAUUCUCAUCAGUGUAAAGUCCCAACAGGUAUCAAAUGAUGUGAUGUGCUUUACUAAAUGAAUACUGUGCAAAGAUCAUGUGGGUUAAUUGCUCUUUUGACUAAAUUUCUUAGAAGAGUAAUGUAGAAAAGAGAGAUAGAAAGUAGUAAUUAUUCAGCACCUGAUAUGUGUCAGGCACUGUGUUAGGUCAUUGACAUGCAAAAUUUCAUUUAAUUCAAUGCAAUAGCUUUAUAUUUGUAUAUAAAAAGUAUCAUUUUAAUUAAGUUAAUCAGAUUCUUAUUGCUUAUUCUUGAACAUUACACUAAUUUCCCCCCACACUGAAAAUAAGUCACUGAAUAUAAAAUGGAAGUGAUUAGAAAAACAUGAUUUAGAUGUAAUGCCCUGUAACACUUGAAGUGAAGUUAAAUGGUACCUUUAUUCUAGUCCAGUCUUUACCGUUAUAUCAUAAAGUCCCCUUCCAUAAUAUUGGAAAAUGUGUGAACACCUGGUGUUGGCAGAAUUAUGGGUAAAUCUUGAAAAUUUGGACACCAUUCCAUUUGUGACAUUUUUUGACAGCUAAGGAUUUGCAUAUAUAGCAUCAAAGAAUUUUAGAUUUGGCUAAAACAUUUACUUUUUAGAAUACGAAGCCAAAGUCUAAAAAUCAUAUUUAUUAAAUUUUAUUUCAUGUUAACACCUUUCAGCCUUAUUCUUAAUAGAGGAAUUUACAUUAAUUUCAAAGAAUUUGAUAAAGCUAGAAACAAACAACUAUGAUCCUUUUGAUUUAACCAUCUUCAUAGAAAAAUUUUAACUGGAUGUUGAAAGAUAGCACAUGUGGAUCUUCCCACUUAUGGCUGAUAUAUGUUGGGUGACUGUGCUUUAGUUUCCUUAACUCUAAAAUGGGGAUAAAAGAUGUAUCAAGUUCACUGGGAUGUUGUAAGAACUAAAUUAAAAAAUGUACAUUCAGUGCUUAGCAUAGAGCUUAUUAAAGUUGCAUACAUGUUUCCAAUUAUUAUUUAAAUAGAUCAGUUUAUAAUGUGUAUUAAAUUCUACCUACAUGCAGUAGUCUAGUCUCGCUAAAAACUACCCUAUAAUUCAUACAUUUUAGCAAGCCAAAAGCACCUUACCCUGCAUUAUUCUGAAUUGGGUGACAUUUUACAUUAUUUUUCAUUAUGAAAGCAUCUUGAUGACAAUGAAAUUCUUCAUUAUAAAGAUCUGGAAAUUUCAAACUCAUUUGCUUUUAUUUCUACAUGCAUCAGGCUGUUGUCCUAUAUUGUAGAGUCACAGAGGUUUAUUUUAAUCUUAAAUAGUGAGAAGAAAAUGCUUUUAAUUUUCUGCAAUAACUAUACAGAAAAAUAUGCAUUAGUUUUUAAAAGAAAUUAUCUUAAUCAGAUACAAUGGGCCAUCUUUGAAGAAUGGUAAUUAGCUUAUUUUCAUUGGCUAUGUAUAACAGCAUACUUCCUUCCCAUUUUGCUUUGGUGUGUCAGUGUACAGAUGGGCCUUCUUUGUUGACAAGGUAGUAAUGAUGAUGCCCCCAUCACUCUUCAGCUCUUCUCAUUAGCUCCUAACCGCCUUCAUUUAUUACUACUGAUUCCCCCAUGUUCAAUAUAUUACAUGUUAACAAAUGGCUCUCAUUUUACUUGACAAUUCUAAUAAUUAAUGAUUAUAGAAGCAUAUUAGACACGUAAUGCCAAAAUAUAUUACCUGUAAUGUUAAUCUCUGAUUUGAGUUUCUUUUGUACGUUGGAAUAGAAUAUGCUAUUUAGAGGUCACAAUGGGAACACAAACGCAUCUCUACACCUCUUCCUCUCAAUCUUACCCCCAUUAAUUUAAGUCAGUGAAGAAUUCUAAAUCUAGUUCUCCAUUAUCAGUAUCAGGCUUGCAGGAAAGAUCUCUGAGGCCCAGAGAAGAGGUGAAAUUCAUGAUGGAAAGAGAGGGAGUGUAAUGGUAAGAAAUAUUCUUGGCCUGGCAUCUCUUUAGUGCUCCAGUGACUGUGGGAGAUCACUUCCUUUGCAUGAUGGAUUACCACUCUUCCUUCAUCCAGUUUUUGGAAAGGAGGAGGAGAGCAGAGGAGCAGGCCUAGACCAUUGAGUUCUCAGCACCAAGAGGACCAAAGACAAGGCAUUGGAAAGGAAAAUACAUAGAGGAAGGGAAGUGAGGGUGUCAGCGCAUCAGAAAUAAGGAGUAGAAUUGAGUACAGUUUGGUUGUACAACCAGACAUCAAGUGUCCUGACAUUUGUAAUGGCUCAGCACAGAUAGGAUGGGUGCGAGAGAGACUCGAUGAUGUCCUCAAGGCAUGCCACACAAACUCCAGCGUAAUCCAUUCUACCUGUAAAAGUUUUUUAAAGGUUCAUUUUUUUUUUCCUUUUCUUUAAUAUGUCACAAUCACAUUCAUUGCUGACUGGGUGUUAUUUCAUAGUAAAAAUCAUAAUCAGCCGUUAUUAGAGGCUGGCAUUCUACCUGAUCCUCAACUGCCUGAUCAGUCAGAUACGGGUCUAAAAUUCAGUAUGCUUUUGAUACACUACUUAGUUGAACAGAUAUGUAUAAAGUGUUCUAGUAUGCCACAAAAAGUGCUGAAAGCUCAGGAUAUAGAAAAUCAGAUGGAGUUCUUCCCCUUGAUGGGAAGAAAUAGCCACAUAAACUUAAACCUUGAUAUGAAGGUAUUGUAGAACAGAGAACGAGGUGGCAACUAAGAUUGGAGGUUUACAGAAUACAAUCCUGGAGACGAUUAUCUUGUCAGAAUCUAAAAGAAACGUAAAAAGAAUAUUCUAAACAUAGAAAUUAGGAUGAGCUAAAUACAGAGUAAGAAGCUGCUAGAAUGUUCCUGGAAACAACAGUUUGGUCUUACUAAGGUAAAGGACAGUAACAUGGGUAGGACAUGUGGUGGGAAAGCAAGGCAGCAAAUCUUGCAGGACCUUGUUACUCAAAGUGUUAUCCACAGCCCUCAGCUGGAGCCUGUUGGAAAUGCAGCUCCUCUGACCAGAACUUCUACAUCAAAAUCUGGAUUUUAACAAGAUCCCAGGGCUGGUUGUUUUGGGCCAGCUUAGAGAAGACCAGCUGCAGAAGAGAAAAAACAUUUCUCUCAAUUCAAGAGAAAAUGCUAUUCACACAGGAGUGAUGGGCAUCCAACAUGACUUGUAGCAAAAAUAUGAAUUCAAGGAAACUGAGAGAAGAAGAUCCAAGAGAAAACAAAACCUUGCUGCUGUGGUUCAGGUGUCUAAGAGCUCAGAAUGAAUAGACUAUGACACUAGGAUUGUUAAUGAAAAGUUUUAUUGACUACAUGCUGUGUAGAUGUCUAUAUAUAUCUGGCUAUUUAGUCUAAAAUUGUCAAAUUUCUGGGAUCUGGGUCUCAAGUAAAAAGUAGGAUGGAUAAUUUGUGGAAUACUUCUAUCUGCUUAACUCCAAAGGCAGAACUCAAAGUUUGGAAAGGCCUUUUAUGGCCUGGAUAUCACAGAGACAGAAUUAAGCAGGAAAGCCUGCUUUAGCUCAGAGAUGAGAGUGUGUGGUGGUGAGAAGACCCUUGUCACAACUAGCAGAUAAAUAGAAUAAAUCAGCUGAAUCCUAUGCUUUGACUCAUGUAUAACAAUUACCAAAACUAGGGAGAGCCUUGGAGUAUCAGCUGUAAUAUCAACUUGUUGACCACUGCCUUUGUUCAUUCAUUUGUUUGUUUAUUCAUACAUUAAUUCAUGUAUAUGUUCACUCAUCCUAUAAAUAAUAAUUAAAUGCCUAUUAAAGGAUCAAGCAGUGUCUGAGUGCUAGGGAUACAGUUGUCACUGAUAGACCCCAUCCUUGCACUCAUGGAACUUAUAAACCAGUAGAAUAAGACAGAUAGAGACACAAAUAAAUGACAAACAAGAUGAUUUCAAAUGAUAAAAACUGCUAUGAAGGAAGAGAAUAAGAUAAUAUGUUGGAGAUUCAUUGCUUGGAUAAGGAGGAUAUACUGCUUAUGUAGGGUGGUCUGGGAAGGCCUCUGUGAGGUGUUGUUUAAGUUGAGACUCAUGAUAAGAAGAAGCCAGGCCACACCAGCAACAUACAUGCAUAUAGCAGAGUACAAGAAAUAUCUAACAUUUCAGAAUAUGCAGAUCAGAGAUUAAAGAAUUAUUCACUAACAUGAUAAAAUCCUUAGGUUUUUCAAGAGGGGGAGAAUAUCUCUCUUUCUAUUUCCCUAUCUCUAUCUCUGUCUCUAUCAUUCUCUCUAUCUCUGUAUCUAUUUCUCUCUCUCUCUCUCAAAAGUGAAAAUUGGCAACUCUUCCUUAUAUGUCCCUGAGGUUCACGUAUCUCUGUCUUCUGGAGUUGAGAUGUUUCUUAAGCAUAACAGAAAUCAUGUCAUGACUCCUGUAAACCUUCAAAGACUGGUUUCAGUCCUAUGUGAGUUCAAAGAAUUGCCUUUGAGUUUUAUACAGUGCUAUGUGCAUGGUAGUUGCUCAGUAAAGACGAGCUAACCUAAGGAAUGGAAUUUGUUUAAUGAUGGUAGUUUCUAAAUAUAUACUUGUUGGUUAAAGAAUGAAAUUGAGUUUAAUGAGAUCAUAUUCUGUUUUUAUGAUUCUUUUUCAAAGAUUCCAAAAUGUGUUAUUACUCAUUCCACAGUAACCCCAUUCAAUUGCCUAAAUCAGGUGUAAGAGUAUUGAUCCUAAAAGUAUAACCCUGAGUAGUGAUUCACAGUGUUGGUUCAAGAUGAAAGUUGACUUAAAGAAACACUUUUGUCCUUAUCAUUCAAAUGACACUUAGGUAAAUAACAAUAAAAGGGAGAACAUACUUUUUACACAGCUAAUUUUUUUCGAUUAGAUUGUAAAAUACAUUAAGAUAGGAGCCAAUUAUUUAUGCCUUUUUAGAAUCCUAAUUCUUAGCACAUAUACAAAUGACAGAUGCUAAGUAAUUCUUGUGCCAUGAACUGAAAAAAAGGUAGUCUUUAAAGCCAGCCAGAUUGGUUUGAAUCCUAGCUCUGCAACUUGCCAGCUCUACAGGCUUGAGCUAAUAGGUAUGUUAACUGAGCCUCACUUAUCUCACCUAUAGAACAGAGAUCCCACUACCUUUCAAGACGAAUUUUGGGAUUAGUGAUAGCUUAGGCAAAAUAACUGUGGAAUAACUAUUCUUAUUUAAAAACAGGAAGAAAAACAAGCAUACUGUGCUAUUAAGUUCUGUGAGGGCAGGAAUGGGAACUGUAUCUUUUCUGUAUCCACAAUUUCUGGCUCUCAGGAGUAGAUACUCAACAAGUACUUUCUGAGUGAGUGAAGGAAUGAAUAUUAUGCUUGAUGAUUUGGCAUAGGUAGGGAGGUGAGAAAUAGUAUUGUAUCGUUGUGAUUUAUACCCAGUGAUAUACAGAGAAUUAAAGACUUUAAGGACUGCCUUAGAUAUCCAACACCCUCAAAUUUGUUAUUGCCUCUAGGAGGAAUACUCGUAUGCUAUCUCUAGAAAGAAAACUGUCCCUUUUAUUUGUAAAGAACUUCAGAAAGAAGUAUCACUCAUAUUUACUUUCCAAUAGCAAUUCUCCACAAGAUAAACAUACAGUUUAAUCAAAUAAACAAGACCAAGAUGCCUCUCCAAAUGUUACUUAAAAGAGUUGGGUUCUCUUUGUCUUGAAAAGGAUCAAGUGACCUCAAUGCAGACAAAUUGUUUUUGGUUGAAGUCUGUUAGUGUUCUGUGAAAAGAAACAAUGUCUCAGUCCAAUGGCUGUCCAAUGAUUUGUGGUACAAUGGGAAUUUGAGCCUGGAAGGAAGGGUUGAAGGUUGUUUUGGGUCUUCAGUUCUUACAUCUUCUUAAGCAAUGAGUGAAGUCUGAUGAAGCUGAGAGAAUGUGUUAAACAAGGCAAUGGAGUGGUCUCUAUGUUCAAAAAGCAAGACAGUAUGUUCUAAGCAUUUCUGAGAGCCGUGAUCAGAGUCUGCAAGUAAGGCUACGUACCUGUCGGAAGAGUUAGUAUCAACCGAAAGAGAUGGUGAUAUUAGAACUUAGGUGGAAAAAGAUUCUGCUUCUCCAGGGACGUAAGAAUCUGAGAUGAGCAACUCUUUCACUGAUGGUAGAAAUAAGGAAAGUUACCAAUGAGGAAGAGAUUUCAUCUAGAUAUAGAAAUACCCAGAUCAGAUAAUCUGAAUAAUCAGGUGGUGGAAAAAAUAUUGCUUUCUUUCCACUGUUGAUUUAUAAUGUUUCAAUUAGAUAUUUCCACCAUGGUGUCUACAAUGAGCAAAGCCCUCUCUGAAGAAAAUUGUCCCACCCUUCACCUACAGCCACUGCUGAGAAACCUUCUAAACUACCAAGUUUGCCCUCCUAUGUCCUCCUACCUAAACUAUUCUCACUUUGACUCUACCACAAUUCACUGAAUGGAGUGGGCAUCACUAACUGGGAAAUGAAUCUAUAAACUGACCUAAGGUACAGCCAAUGUAAAAGAAUAAAUGAGGCUAAAGAGAUCGGCUCUGGACUUUGAAUUGGGAGUGUUACUACAAAAUGGCCUAGUUAGCGAAGGAAAUGGAAGCUGAAUCACGCAGAGAACCCAUCAGCUAAAGUCAGAGGAAGCUCAAGUUGUGAGAAAGAAGCUGUGAUUAACCAGAAGCUAUGAAGUUGAAAAAAGGUGUGCAAAUUAAGGGAAAAAAAUUCACAGUCCAGCUGGCACUAGGAAGAGAAGUGAACAUUCAGAGAUGGAGAUUUGUAGAGAGUAGCUAACUCAUAUUUAUGGUUGACAGAUAUUAACCAAUUUCUGCUCCUCCUGCAACCUUGCCCUGUUGUAAUUCCUUUUCUUACGGAGUUUAGAGUUUUCGGUCUUUCUUGGCUGAAGAUUGGACAGCCUAUCUUUAUAGUAAGACCCUAUCCUUUGUGGUAAACCUAUUUUAUGACCAACAUAUCCAGAUUAAAACCUGUAUGAUGACCAAGAAGCCAGUUUUCCUUGGCAUGUUCUCAGUUUUAGAUAUUCUGUCUCAUUGUUCAUACAAAAUUAUGGUUCUAUUUGUGAUUGGAAAAGUGUGAAUGCCAUACUCUUAGCUGGCCUAAUACAAUUUGCAGAGAAGUGGGGAGAGGAGAAACGAGGAGGAAGGAAGGUAGGGAAGCAGAGAAGGAGGGAGAGGAGUGACAGUGGGAGAAAAGAAGACUAAAAGAAAUAAAAUUAAAAGAUUGAAAACUUUGGAUAGGAAUACUGCAAUCCAUAAGUAGGUAGAAAAUUCCCCUGAGUGAAUUUGGAGUUUAAGAAUGUUUGUUUACCUACAAUAAGUCUUUUAAAGUUACUGUCUGUCAAAAGAAAUAAGAUAAUUUCAAAAAUUUUGCAUGCCCAAACAUACAAGGCCUAAAUCUUCUGGGUAAAUAAUAUGCCUCCAAGCAUAGCAUAAAAUAAACACACUGAAAUAGUGUUAAGAUGGGGGUGGUGUUUGCAUGUGACUUGUGUACCAAGAAUCCAUCUACUACUACUAUUUUCCUUUUUUUUUAAGAAAAGUAUAAGCCUACUUACAGAGCCCAAAAAUACAUUAAAGAAGAAAUCUGGAUGUCCCUGGUUGAGUUUGCAUAAAGGAGGCAGACACGUUUCCGUGUAACAACUCAAUGGAAUGGUUAUAACUGCUUCAAUAAUACAAUACAAUAAAAUUUAUUUUUAUAUUGGGUCAUAAAAUUACUAUACCAGAAUUGGGCAAUAGUUUAUCAGUUCUCAAAAUGGCUAGUGUAGGAUGCAACUGAGAAAGGUAUAAAAUUCUUCAAAUGUGUCUAAUUAUCCCAAACUCUACCUCCUAUGGGAAAUAUUCUCCUAACCAUUUCUGUUGAUCAGUUUAUGUUAUAAAACAUAUGGGUUGAUGACCCUUACAACAUGGUUUUGCUUCAGGGGAUAAUGUAACUACAGAUCUCUUUUAUUGUCCUAUAAAUACUAUGUCUCCUCUUGAAAUAGUAUUGCAUUCAUCAUGUGUCUUCCUCAAAUUAUUUUCUAGUGUCGUUAUUUCACAUAUGAAUUGAACAUCACUAAGCCCUAUAUAGAAUGAAUGAAUUUUGGGAAACAAGUAUUAAAAAUGACCUAGGCUUCGGAGCGGGGAAGCUUGUUGAGCAUAACUGGGACCAAAUUUGAAUUCCAAACCCUUCUCAACACAAGCCCCAGACUCCACUCAGUUGGUUGGUUUUGGAGGAAAAGGAGAGGUUUAGAAGCAAUUUACUCUUUUCUCUCCAGGCCAUAAGGCCUGUGUGUGUGUGUGUGAGUGUGUGUAUGAGGUAGAAAGAGGAGGGGAGAGAGAGAGAGAGAGAGAGAGAGAGAGGAGCUCUGAAACAUUAACACUGAUAUGAAAAAGUGAAAGUCAGAGUACUUAAAUUUGAACCCAGAAGCCAUCACUUACUAACUGUAUGAUCUUAGCUAAUUAAUCAUUCAACUCAGUUUCCUGAGUAGUAAAACAUCAUUAAUAGCACGUUCCUUCUAGAGCUGAUGUGAGGAUUCACUGAAUCUUCACAUUGUACUUGGCACAUAGUGAGCACCUAGGAAAGGUGAACCGCUCAUAAUGACCACGGCUAUUCUUUAUGUAGUCGCAGGGAUUAAACCUGAUCCUGUAAGUAGAGAGAAGGAUUUUCUUUUUUAAUGUCUCCUAUGGAAAGAUAUCCUUACAAAGUAAUCAUUGAGAGAGGGAAUGGACAAGUUUAGUCUAGGAAACUCUGACAAGCAAGAAGGCUGAAAGAAAAAUGCAUGGCCCAGAUGCCCUCACAAUGGUCCUGAAGGCAGGAAGAGAAAACCUUGAAAGCAAAUGAAGGAAAAAACGUUGAGAGUAAGUUUACCCAAGCGUGGGAUUUCAUCACUGCUUGCUUCUGAUAUGCCUGUCAUGCGCUGGUGCUGCCACUGUAAUGAAGGUUGGAUUUAGGGUGGUAAAUGGUGAAAGAGAGAAAAUUCAUCAUUUUUUAUUGAGAUAUGAUUGGCAUUUAACAUUGUAUUAGUUUUAGGCAUACGACGUGAUUUGUUAUGUAUAUAUUGCAAAAUGAUUACCACAAUAAGUUUAGUUAACAUUCAGUGUCAAGAGGACAGAAGACAAAAGAAGCAGAAAACAGGGUGGAGAGAAGCAGGUAAAAGUAAGGAUAAAUGACAUUGAAGCUUUUUCUCAACAUUUGUUUCCUGACCCAUUCUCUCCAUGAUUUCUGAGCAACACAAUUAGCUAGAUGUCACAGCACCCUCAGAGAAUCUAGUACUUCUGGCUUGUGCCAACUGUCAGGUAUACUGACAUAACUGUACAAAGGGAAAAAUGGAGGAAAGUUUGACUGGCAGGACAGAUUAAUGCCCUGCUAAUGCUAUUAAUUACUGCCAUUGUUUCCAAGGGCUGAGACAUGGGAAAUGCAAUAGCAGUUUUCUUGUACGUUGACCUGAAAGGCUGGUGUCUGACAUCAUGUGGGAGGAGUAGAGGUUGGGGGUUACAAACAUAGCAUAUUGUUUUGCCGACACAUGCAAAUGUUUGGAAAGUCUUCCAAAUUUAAAGGAGAAAAAAAUACAAUAUAAAUUGUAGUCAAAGAAAAAAACAAACCAUAGUUUGGUUUUCCAUCUUCCCUGGGGAGCAGCUGCUGAUUUCACUCUAAUUUUAGCUGCUAUUGCUUUGAGCUAAACUUUCCAUUUUUAUUAAAAAAAAACAAAACUAAAACUUUGAGUCUAGAGGAUUACAAGCUCCUGUGCUUUUGAUUUUUAAUAAAAAGCGAGCAUUUACCUCUGAACAGUAGCAGCAAGAAAGGGAAUUAGACCUGAGGCUAGUGGGCUGACCUUUAGAGGGGUGCCGAUCCAGAGGGAGAGGAGGAAGUUAACACACAUUGCUUUUCUUUCUCAUGUACACACUCUCCAGCUAAUAUUCUUUUUUAUAUAUUUAUUUAAAAGGGGAAAAUCAUUUGAUUUUUAAAAAAUCUUUAUUCAUUAAUGUUUGUGUUUCAUGAAUUGGUUAGGUGGAUGCAAAUCCUUCUGAGUGCUAGGCCUGCUGCUAUGAUUGGAUUUCCAUAUAUCGUAUGAAUGGCAAUAGUGCAGCUUUAAGGUAUAGAAAGAGAAAUCACAUAUCCAUCUCUAUACAAGAGUCUACUACAUGGGGAAUCUGGGGUGUUGCCUGACAUGGUGAAACCAAUUACUCCAACAUGGCUGACAGACUACUCCUUGCAACUGGGAUUAUGUAUACCAUAAUGCCAUUCUUUAGUCUGUUCACUUUUUUAUAGAGGAAAGGAAGCAUAGUAAAUUUAGCCUAAUUUGCAUAUGAUUUUUCUGUAAAACAAGUGUAUUCCUGUGGCAUUAAAUGAAUACCAUUGUUUAAAAAAAUGGGCUAUGAUCCAUGAAUUCAGUUUACAAAUUUCUAUUUGCAUUGUUCCUCAACCCUCUCCCUCCCCACCACUUCUAUACACUAUUUUGUCUCAACAAAGGAACUUGCCUAUAACUAGCUUAGGAUGUAAAAUGUUCAGCUUCAAACUUGGCCUUCCCCUCGUUAUGCUUUUCCCAUUCUCCGUUCCUCUUGCCUCUUGUAGAAAGCGUGUCAGCCUGAUAGAAUAAAGGUUGGGAGUUCACGUUUCUAUUAGAAAUCAUUCACAGCUUUAAUUCUCUCUGUCAAAUGGAUCACUACUCUUAUAGCAUUUAAUUGUCUUUAUCAUCCCAAAGUACUCUACUUUCAGAGAAAAUAUUUAAAGAAGCCUUUGUUAGAGUAUCCAAACUUAGCGUAUUGUGCUGAGUUUUGUUUUCAUGAAUUUUGCCUUCAUGUGGGUAUUGGCAUUAAUUAGAUGUGUACAUUGAAUGCUAACUGCAUUAUGUUUAAUUACUUUUCUUGUGAUUUUGUCAGUUAAAAUUAUAACCAUAGGAUAAUAGAAAUCUCUCUUGGAGCUAAUUAGACCACUAAGGAUCGUUUGUAAAGGUCAGGCUCGCAGUCGGCUUGGGAGGAACGGAAGACUUACUGGGCAAAGAAUGGCAGUGAGGAGACAGUGUGGACUUAGAGAAUGUCAGGCUGGAAGAGCUUCUGGGAUAUCGUGCCCAGUCCCUUCCUUCUCCUGGUGGGGAGACUGGACAGAGGUGAGGUUCUCUGUCUCUCUCUGACUUGCUAUGAAAUCUUUAGAUGAAUGAUUUAAUUUCUCAAUGUCUAGUUCAUACAAUCUGCUACUAAAACCCCAACUUUCAGUUCAUGUCAUGCAGAUUGUCCAAGGGUCCCAAAGGACUUGAUGCAACUUUGCCACCCUCAGAGGUGAGAGUGAGAGCUGUAUAACUGCGUUCAUAGAAGACAGUUGCAUUAACAGGUUAAAUGAAGGGACUCCUGGCUUCUUAAAAUAAAUGAAUUCUUGAUCCUAUUGCUGACUUCCAAACCUCUUUUUUUUUUUUAAAGGUAUAGAAAAGUUCUAUUGGGCAAAUAACUGUUGCAACAAAAUAAUAGGA